CUUUGCAUUAAGCACGUGUAUAACCAAAUAACUGCAGUUAAUUCAGUUCCUUUGUUAUCAGGUUCACAAGUCAACUUUUGUAUGUGUGUGUCUUUCUCUCUGUCUCUCUCUCACUGGUCUUUGUGUGUUUGGCUAUUGUGUCUGUUUGUCUAUCUGUUUCUACACCACAAUAUGACAGUGUCCAGUCAACAGUCCAUAAGACAGACAGUGACAAACAAUCUAUAAUUUGAUGAAGGCCCAGUUCCAUUAGAUUAGUGCG